GUGGCUUCCGGAGCUAACGCGUUAAGUAGACCGCCUGGGGAGUACGGCCGCAAGGUUAAAACUCAAAUGAAUUGACGGGGGCCCGCACAAGCGGUGGAGCAUGUGGUUUAAUUCGAUGCAACGCGAAGAACCUUACCUGGUCUUGACAUCCACGGAAGUUUUCAGAGAUGAGAAUGUGCCUUCGGGAACCGUGAGACAGGUGCUGCAUGGCUGUCGUCAGCUCGUGUUGUGAAAUGUUGGGUUAAGUCCCGCAACGAGCGCAACCCUUAUCCUUUGUUGCCAGCGAUUCGGUCGGGAACUCAAAGGAGACUGCCAGUGAUAAACUGGAGGAAGGUGGGGAUGACGUCAAGUCAUCAUGGCCCUUACGACCAGGGCUACACACGUGCUACAAUGGCGCAUACAAAGAGAAGCGACCUCGCGAGAGCAAGCGGACCUCAUAAAGUGCGUCGUAGUCCGGAUUGGAGUCUGCAACUCGACUCCAUGAAGUCGGAAUCGCUAGUAAUCGUGGAUCAGAAUGCCACGGUGAAUACGUUCCCGGGCCUUGUACACACCGCCCGUCACACCAUGGGAGUGGGUUGCAAAAGAAGUAGGUAGCUUAACCUUCGGGAGGGCGCUUACCACUUUGUGAUUCAUGACUGGGGUGAAGUCGUAACAAGGUAACCGUAGGGGAACCUGCGGUUGGAUCACCUCCUUACCUGAAAGAAGC
rnacentral:rRNA from 2 species